GACGAGCACGUGCCGUGCAGCGGCGGGAUGACGUGGGUGGGAAGCGGUGUGCGGGAUGAUUGGGCGUAAAGGGCGCGCAGGCGGCGUCGUAAGGCGGUCUUAAAAGUGCGGGGCGUAACCCCGUGAGGGGACCGAAACUGCGAUGAUAGAGUAUCGGAGAGGAAAGCGGAAUUCCUAGUGUAGCGGUGAAAUGCGUAGAUAUUAGGAGGAACACCAGUGGCGAAAGCGGCUUUCUGGACGACAACUGACGCUGAGGCGCGAAAGCCAGGGGAGCAAACGGGAUUUGAUACCCCAGUAGUC
rnacentral:rRNA from 1 species